GAGUAACAUUCGAAACGGGUGCUAAUACCGCAUAAUAUCUUCUUCCGCAUGGAAGAAGAUUGAAAGACGGCUCUGCUGUCACUUAUAGAUGACCUUGCGGUGCAUUAGUUAGUUGGUGGGGUAACGGGCCUACCAAGACGAUGAUGCAUAGCCGACCUGAGAGGGUGAUCGGCCACAUUGGGACUGAGACACGGCCCAA
rnacentral:rRNA from 1 species